UGGGCCUGGAUCCUUUGUUUGAUUUGG
rnacentral:piRNA from 1 species